GAUGAACGCUGGCGGCGUGCCUAAUACAUGCAAGUCGAGCGAACAGACGUGGAGCUUGCUCCUCUGACGUUAGCGGCGGACGGGUGGGUAACACGUGGAUAACCUACCUAUAAGACUGGGAUAACUUCGGGAAACCGGAGCUAAUACCGGAUAAUAUAUUGAACCGCAUGGUUCAAUAGUGAAAGACGGUUUUGCUGUCACUUAUAGAUGGAUCCGCGCCGCAUUAGCUAGUUGGUAAGGUAACGGCUUACCAAGGCAACGAUGCGUAGCCGACCUGAGAGGGGUGUGCGGCAACCUGGAAACGGACACAGGGCCAGGCCUCAGCGGGGGGGCAGAGGAGGGAAUCUGCCCGAAGGGGGGAAAGGCCGGAGGAGGCAACACGGGGGGAUGAUGAAGGGCUUACGAACCUAAAAACUUUUUAAUUGGGAAGAAAAAAUGGGGAAGUAAAUGUUCCCCGCUUGAGGGAACCUAAUAAGAAAGCCAGGGCUAACCAGGUG
rnacentral:rRNA from 1 species